rfam:Danio rerio chromosome 4, GRCz11 reference primary assembly.
GGCCGGUUAGCUCAGCUGGUUAGAGCGAAGUGCUAAUAACGCCAAGGGCGCGGGUUCGAUCUCCGUACUGGCCA